AUAACUUGGGUUGCUCAACCCGGUUUGGUCUAUUAGUUAAAUUACCCCAGAAUGGUUCGAUUCGACCCAUGGAUAUACUCCUACUGCAUAGGAGAGAUUGGAAUUUGAGGUUUUAGCAAAACCCCAAGGGCCAAGGCGCCAAUCACCAGCGGCGAGAUCGAACUGAUAUAACAGGUAAACUGAUCAAGUUUCAUUCCUUUCUUUCUCUUUGUCUCUAUGCACCAAAAACCCUCAUUUUGAUUGUUUGAUCACAGAUGGAAAUAUAUUCCUCUAUUCAAUGCUCUCUCAUCAUAAUCAGGAGAUGAAAUUAGCUUUGAAAUGCCAAACUUUUUGAAAGUUUUCAGCAACUUUUUCGUCUAUAUUUCCUCAGCUACUCUAUUUGAUUUUAGAAUGUAUUAAUUUUGAACUUCAUUUUCCCUACAUAGUUUAAUUAUUCAUACCGGAGAGUAAAUUAUAUACUUGCUGCAGCCUGCAAGUUGAAUUUAGUUUUUGUCAAAUUGCUAAUAUAUACUAUACCCUCCAUUUCAAACUUAGAGAUCAAUUUUUUUUAUUCAGUUCCAAAACAAAGAUGCAUUUCUAUCUACUUUUGCACUAUAAAAGUGGCAAUCUAUGCCAUUACUUUUUUACUAACAUUUUUAACAGCACAGCACUACUACUUGAUUAGUAGAUUCUUAGCUAAUAUUAAGGGUAUAUUGGAAACUGGGAUUAUCCUUAAAAUGGUAGGUCUUAAGAAGGUAGGUUGUUUUAAAAAUGUAUCUCUUGUUUUAUGGAGUAUUUGAAUUGUGGACCAUGAGGAGAAAAACUAAAUGUGCCAGAUUCUGUGCCAUCAAUGACUGCCCGGCUUUCUGCUGCUGGUGGUUUUUUUGGCUGAAUUUGAUGGUUUCCUUACUCAUCUGAGUGUCUCCUUAUCUGUUAUUUUUAGUUUUUCACUAUUAUAUCUUUUUAUACCUGAAAAUUUAAUAUUUUAAUUUGAAAUUGGGUACUUAGUUGCAUCAUGUGAGCAUUAUCACGAGUUUAUAUUUGUAUGUCUAGUUUUUGGUCUUUCUUCCCAAUCAAAGUUGGAUUACCUUUAUCUUGAUCUGAAUCAUGAAUACUUUGUGUUUGGUUGUAUAUUGCCACUAUCUCCAUCUCAUGCUAAGGUUAGCUGCUCUUUCUUUUCUGAGAUGUCAUUAAAUAAUAAUUUACUAGGUACGAAAGCAUGAUUUUCAAGUACUUGUUUACAUCUUGGUCAUAGAUUAUACAAAAUUUUAUCGACCAAGUUACUUUCAAUUAAGGAUCAUAUAUUUAGUACAGCUUUUUGGAUGAGGACAUGAGAUUGUAAUUUUGUUUACUAGCUCAGAAGUGAUUAUUCUCAACAUGUGCUUUUGUAAACUUCACUUAUUUUUAAUUAAUUUAUUAACUUAUUAUUUAACUUGACAAAAGGAAUUUGAGUAGACUAAGAUAGAGAGGAAGGUGAUGAGUUAUAGCAGGUACUUAUGACGGUUAUUAUUAUCUAGAUGUUCUCCUGGUACAGCCAAUAGUAGCUGUGCCGAGUUUCUAUGAUAUGCAGUGGCGAAGAUAGGGUACAAAUGUGGGGUCAAUUGACCCCACUCAAUUUUUGAAAUCAUUUAAAAAAAAUUUUGAACCCACUCAAAAGGCAAACCGUGAACCAUCAAAGCCUUUCGCGAGUGAUCGGAGUGAGUACUCGUGAUUGGCGAGCCGCGAGUGUGGAGACUGGAGUGCAACUCUAUUCUACUGUGACUCUAUUGCAGCCUUGUGCCGUUGCAGGUAACAGAAAUUACUCUCUCUUCAAUUUCUCCAACCUCAGUUUUGUUUUCAGAAAUCAAUUAUGAUUUUCCCCUUUUGUUAGUAUUAUUAAAUUAGAUAUUUGGAUGCAUUUGUCUAACCCGAAAGUAUAAAUUAUUAAAAAAAAAUUGGCUCGGGGGCGUUGCCCCCGAACCCCCGUCAAAUUUUUUAUAACUUAUUACUAAUUUUGACCCCACUGCUAAAACUUUCUGGCUUCGCCACUGAUGAUAUGCGUAUGGAACCAAUUCUUGGCUUCCUUCUCUGUCCAUCAGUAUUUCCAACAAAAAUUUUG
rnacentral:lncRNA from 1 species